rnacentral:rRNA from 1 species
CCUACGGGUGGCAGCAGUGAGGAAUAUUGGUCAAUGGACGAGAGUCUGAACCAGCCAAGUAGCGUGAAGGAUGACUGCCCUAUGGGUUGUAAACUUCUUUUAUAUGGGAAUAAAAUGUUCCACGUGUGGGUUUUUGUAUGUACCAUAUGAAUAAGGAUCGGCUAACUCCGUGCCAGCAGCCGCGGUAAUACGGAGGAUCCGAGCGUUAUCCGGAUUGAUUGGGUUUAAAGGGAGCGUAGGUGGAUUGUUAAGUCAGUUGUGAAAGUUUGCGGCUCAACCGUAAAAUUGCAGUUGAUACUGGCAGUCUUGAGUACAGUAGAGGUAGGCGGAAUUCGUGGUGUAGCGGUGAAAUGCUUAGAUAUCACGAAGAACUCCGAUUGCGAAGGCAGCUCACUGGACUGCAACUGACACUGAUGCUCGAAAGUGUGGGUAUCAAACAGGAUUAGAUACCCUUGUAGUC